GGAGAGGUGGCAGAGCGGUUGAAUGCGGCGGUCUCGAAAACCGUUGGGCCUUCGGGUCCCGGGAGUUCGAAUCUCCCCCUCUCCGCCA
rnacentral:tRNA from 1 species